GACGAACGCUGGCGGCGUGCUUAACACAUGCAAGUCGAACGGAAAGGCCUCUGCUUGCAGGGGUGCUCGAGUGGCGAACGGGUGAGUAACACGUGGGUGAUCUGCCUUGUACUCUGGGAUAAGCUUGGGAAACUGGGUCUAAUACCGGAUAGGAACUGCCUUUAGUGUGGUGGUUGGAAAGUUUUUUCGGUGCAAGAUGAGCUCGCGGCCUAUCAGCUUGUUGGUGGGGUAAUGGCCUACCAAGGCGUCGACGGGUAGCCGGCCUGAGAGGGUGUACGGCCACAUUGGGACUGAGAUACGGCCCAGACUCCUACGGGAGGCAGCAGUGGGGAAUAUUGCACAAUGGGCGGAAGCCUGAUGCAGCGACGCCGCGUGGGGGAUGACGGCCUUCGGGUUGUAAACUCCUUUCGACAGGGACGAAGCGCAAGUGACGGUACCUGUAUAAGAAGCACCGGCUAACUACGUGCCAGCAGCCGCGGUAAUACGUAGGGUGCGAGCGUUGUCCGGAAUUACUGGGCGUAAAGAGCUCGUAGGUGGUUUGUCGCGUCGUCUGUGAAAUUCCGGGGCUUAACUCCGGGCGUGCAGGCGAUACGGGCAUAACUUGAGUGCUGUAGGGGAGACUGGAAUUCCUGGUGUAGCGGUGAAAUGCGCAGAUAUCAGGAGGAACACCGAUGGCGAAGGCAGGUCUCUGGGCAGUUACUGACGCUGAGGAGCGAAAGCAUGGGUAGCGAACAGGAUUAGAUACCCUGGUAGUCCAUGCCGUAAACGGUGGGCGCUAGGUGUAGGGGGCUUCCACGUCUUCUGUGCCGUAGCUAACGCAUUAAGCGCCCCGCCUGGGGAGUACGGCCGCAAGGCUAAAACUCAAAGGAAUUGACGGGGGCCCGCACAAGCGGCGGAGCAUAUGGAUUAAUUCGAUGCAACGCGAAGAACCUUACCUGGGCUUGACAUACACCAGAUCGCUGCAGAGAUGUAGUUUCCCUUGUGGUUGGUGUACAGGUGGUGCAUGGUUGUCGUCAGCUCGUGUCGUGAGAUGUUGGGUUAAGUCCCGCAACGAGCGCAACCCUUGUCUUAUGUUGCCAGCAUUUGGUUGGGGACUCAUGAGAGACUGCCGGGGUUAACUCGGAGGAAGGUGGGGAUGACGUCAAAUCAUCAUGCCCCUUAUGUCCAGGGCUUCACACAUGCUACAAUGGUCGGUACAACGCGCAGCGGCACUGUGAGGUGGAGCGAAUCGCUGAAAGCCGGUCUUAGUUCGGAUUGGGGUCUGCAACUCGACCCCAUGAAGUCGGAGUCGCUAGUAAUCGUAGAUCAGCAAUGCUGCGGUGAAUACGUUCCCGGGCCU
rnacentral:rRNA from 1 species